CGGAGCAACGCGUCAUCGGACGUU
rnacentral:sRNA from 1 species